rnacentral:lncRNA from 1 species
AGACCACAGCAACCCUCUCCAUACCAUGUAUAUACCUGGCUCCCCUACCCAUGCAAGCAAAAUCCAAGUGGGUAGUCUGGACUUCCACCCUAGUGAGGCUACAAGGUGGCAUCUCAACACCCUAACUGGGGUAGAGUCAAAGGCUAUGUAGACAAGUAGGGAGCCAUGAUAAUGGUGUCAGCGGAGACCACCUAGAGAGCCUAGAUUUCCACCCAUACAGGAAGUAAUACGGUGUUACUUACUCCUUCUCCUAGUUGGCUAGUAUCAAAGGAGGCCUAGUGGAAAGUCGGGACUUUUCCCAUUGCCCAGAGGUGUGAGUCAUCACGGCUGGCCAAAACUGAGCAACUUUUAAAACAAGGGACACACAGUAUAUAUUCCAUCAGUCACAGCAAUGACAUCUCACAAGCCAUGUAACCUCUGGAAAACUCCACUGUACACUCAUAAGUGAAUGAGAGUGAAAAGGGCAAAUAACAUCUUACUAUUAUCAUUAAAACAGUUUUGGCCUUGUAGAUCCCUUGCAAGAGUCUCAUGGAUUCCUGCACCACAUUUUGCAAAGUGCAGCUACAGGGGGAUACUAAAAGCAAGUCCAUGAUACAGUGUCAUAAAUUAUAAGGCACAGCUAGGAAGCAAUAAAGUUAGAGCAUUAGGGAAGAAACAGACCACAAAAGGACUUGUAGACUCCUCAUAUUUAAAGUGUG